GUGUUCCCUUUGGCGGCACAUAUACUAAAAUUGGAAUGAUAUGGAGAAGACGAGCCUUGCCCUGCACAAGGAUGACACACAAAAAUAGUCUCCAGAACUAAACUCAA
ensembl:snRNA U6 U6 spliceosomal RNA